UACAGAGGUGGCAAGCGUUGUUCGGAAUUACUGGGCGUAAAGGGCGCGUAGGCGGCCUUCUAAGUCGGACGUGAAAGCCCCAGGCUUAACCUGGGAACUGCGUCCGAUACUGGCAGGCUUGAAUCCCGGGAGAGGGAUGCGGAAUUCCAGGUGUAGCGGUGAAAUGCGUAGAUAUCUGGAGGAACACCGGUGGCGAAGGCGGCAUCCUGGGCCGGCAUUGACGCUGAGGCGCGAAAGCGUGGGGGAGCAAACAGG
rnacentral:rRNA from 1 species